rnacentral:rRNA from 1 species
UACGAAGGGGGCUAGCGUUGUUCGGAAUUACUGGGCGUAAAGCGCGCGCAGGCGGCUAUCCAAGUCAGUGGUGAAAGCCCGGAGCUUAACUCCGGAACUGCCAUUGAAACUGUUUGGCUUGAGGACGAGAGAGGUGAGUGGAAUUCCCAGUGUAGAGGUGAAAUUCGUAGAUAUUGGGAAGAACACCGGUGGCGAAGGCGGCUCACUGGCUCGUUUCUGACGCUCAGGCGCGACAGCGUGGGGAUCAAACAGG